rnacentral:rRNA from 1 species
GAUGAACGCUGGCGGCGUGCCUAAUACAUGCAAGUCGAGCGAACAGACGAGGAGCUUGCUCCUCUGACGUUAGCGGCGGACGGGUGAGUAACACGUGGAUAACCUACCUAUAAGACUGGGAUAACUUCGGGAAACCGGAGCUAAUACCGGAUAAUAUAUUGAACCGCAUGGUUCAAUAGUGAAAGACGGUUUUGCUGUCACUUAUAGAUGGAUCCGCGCCGCAUUAGCUAGUUGGUAAGGUAACGGCUUACCAAGGCGACGAUGCGUAGCCGACCUGAGAGGGUGAUCGGCCACACUGGACCUGAGACACGGUCCAGCCUCCUACGGGAGGCAGCAGUAGGAAAUCUUCCGCACUGGGCGAAAGCCUGAGGAGCAACGCCGCGUGAGUGAUGAAGGUCUUCGGAUCGUAAAACUCUGUUAUUAGGGAAGAACAAAUGUGUAAGUAACUAUGCACGUCUUGACGGUACCUAAUCAGAAAGCCACGGCUAACUACGUG